rnacentral:piRNA from 1 species
UAGUCUAGAACAGACCUGGGAGAAUGGUA